rnacentral:lncRNA from 1 species
CAUUAAGUCCAUAAAAUUAAGUAGAUUAUGAGUUUAACCGAGGUUAAUUAUGAUAUUUUUAUGGAGAUUAAUUUUCUUAUAGUAGUGUUAUGGAUGUUAGCGGUGUAGUUUGGUUCGUUUUUGAGCCUAAAAGUCGUCUGAUCUGCAACAUAAAAAAGAAUGCGAUUUGGUUUGGUUCGGUUGGCUUUGAUAAUAAAAUCCGAAUCAUACUAAACAAAACCAAUGUGAUUUGAAUUGGUUCGAUUGUUGCAAUUUUUUUAUGAGACAAUACAAUUUUUUUUCCAAUAUUAAAAUAAAGUUAAAAACAACUUAUUUCUAAUAAUGUUUCAAAUUUGAUCCAACAUUGCAAAUUCUUUUUCAUCCAACAAUGUUCCAUACCAAAUAAAAAAAUAUGAAUAAAAAAG